rnacentral:lncRNA from 1 species
GGCCACAAAGACGAGGAAACGAUUUUUUUUCAAUUAUACACACACACGAAGAACACAUACUGAUCACGAAGAAUGGUUCUAUACAAAAGAAUCUCCCAAAAAAUAUAAAUCUCGCGCAGGAGGAGUGCUCUAUCAUUUGGCUGCCUUCCUCUUUUGGUACUGAUCCUUGAUCCAGUGAAUUCCAGUGGAGGUGCCUGCCUUGAUCUUGUUCGCGCUAGCAGCAGCCACGAUCUUAGCCUUGUCCACUCCCUGGCUCGCCGCCGCCUUGAUCUUAGCGCCCUUGUUUGACGACGAUUCCUUGCUCCUGCUCUUGUCCAUCUUCAUUUGCUCCGCUCGCUCCUUGUCGUUCAUCUUGUAGUCCCACUGAUCCGCCCAGCUCAGCCCAUUCGAUUCCAUCCUCUCUCGAUCGAAGAAUUCCCUCAAAGCCUCGGAGGCCCAAAAACCGAUCUUUUAGAGCACCGCGCCUCGCUGAGGUUCUUGCUUGCUUCGCUGCCGACUUUCUAGAAAGAUAAACCGAGUGAAAAGCUUAGACCGAGUUAAGAUGAGAAGAUACUAUUAAAUAUAAUGGAAGGUUACGUGUGCCAUCUGGAAGACUGGCACGGGUAAGUUUGCUUUGCGUGAAAAAGACUGCUUUCUGGAAAUUUCGAUCAGUGUUUCUUUGUUUCAUCGAUGGAAUCUGUGGACGUCGCAAUAAUCGGAGCGGGGCUGUGCGGGUUGGCACUCGCGAUUGGCCUGCAAAACAGAGGAAUCACUGCUCACUUGUUUGAAAAGAGUGAUGGCAUUCGAGCGGAUACUGCUACAGGGAUAAGUAUUGGAAAGAAUGGUACCUUGUUUUUUUAUCUUCCAUUAUUUCGAUCUGUAAGACUCUUCGCAGGAGGGCGAGCUCUGGACGGAAUCCAGCCGGGGCUGGAGGAGGCCAUGAAAUCUGCAGGAACGCAGAUAAAGAGCUUUAGAAUUCUUGACAUUACUGGAGGCGAGAAGCAGGAGAUUGAGAUGAAGGAAGGAGAAAUCCCGGCGGUGUUUAUGGUACCUUGGAGAAAAGCACGAAAGAUGUUGGCUGACAUGGUUCCCAGUUCUAACAUUCACUGCUCGCACAAACUCGUCUCCUACAGUGCUGCAAAAGAUAAGGCAAGGAAGUGAAUGAGAGACAGCAUAAAAAUCAUACAACUGACUUGCACAGGAUGGAGUCGAGUUGGAGUUUGAAGUUCGAGAUGAUCAAGGCCGGACUUCUCGCAAGACAAUCCAUGCCAACUUGGUGAUUGGAACAGACGGAGUCCACUCCGCUGUGAGGAAGAUCAUGGUGGGAGAUAAACCCAGGGACUUGCACCUGAUGAACUGGAACGCUCUCGUCUACAAUCCCGAUUCCAAGUAAGUCAAUUUACCGGCAACAGUAGAGCUUACCUUGGACAUACGACCAGGUUCUUCAAGGUCCACGAGAAGGAUCAGAUUUUCAUGAUCAAGGACAACGCAACAUUCGUUCAUCUCGCGGACUCAGGUAACUGGCUCUCUGCGAAAACACUAAAGUUUAGAGGAGAAGAUACAAGUGGAUCAUGCGUAUUUACUUACAGGCGAAGGCUAUACCUUGUGGGUGGUCCGGAUGUACAACGAAGACAUCCCGAUUGGUGGUGCAUUUGGAGGGCCUCCUGCCAAAGAACGAGCUCUCAAAGAAAUCCGAAAGUUGGAGCCACCGGAAGUCUGGGAGCCACUGAGAAUCGCCGUGGAAGCGACGAGUCCGGAGCUGAUUUACGAGCGGAGGAUCAUCGACAAUCCACCACUCGAGUCUUGGAGCGAUCUUGACGGGCGCGUUCUUCUCAUUGGAGACGGUCAGUCACUCGGCUUCUUAGAAAGCUUGUCGAGAAACUUUUGUUUUCUUCUUCUUCUCCUUUCCAGCGGCUCAUGCGAUGCAUUGGGGUCCCGGACAAGGCGCUAGAACAGCGUUUGAAGACGCACACCAGCUAUCAGAGCUCCUGGCAGCAGCAAUAGCAACCGGUGAGGAAAGAAAGAGAGCCAUUGCAAGGUAAGGAAGGGUUUUCUCUCAUUCAUACCUCUGGAGCUGAUCGAUCGAUCCCCGCUACGCAGGUUUGAGGAGCUGAGAAUCCCUCGCAUGACGAGAUUCCAGGCAUUCGCGGCCGAGGGCACCGAGCUGCCCGAAUUCGUCAAGGAGGAUGUCCAAACUCUCCCAGAGAGCGAGCGGCGCAAGCGUAGAUAUGAAUUCCAGGCCUGGGCCGAUAGCUACCCGGAGAAAAUGGCCGGAGAUCCCGACUCCACUUACUUCAAGCCGCUGUGAAACCAUCGCCCUGGCCUCCUGGCUUAGCCUAAAUGUGAAUUAAAUGUUAGGGUUUAAUCGGAGCUAGGGUUUUUCGUCUUCCGCCCGGGUGGAGGAGGACGGGGGAGCGCGAUGAUCCCGAUCAACAACUUCGAGCAGCAUGCCAGCAAGUUCCUGGACCCAGAUUUGUGUACGCGCAUCCGUUUUCUCUUGGAUUUUCUCUUGAUUCGUGGAAAUUUUCAGCGAUGCAGCAGCGGCAUCAGCUCGCCACCGAGGUCCGGGACAGCAUCGAGAUCGUCCAGACAUCCGAGUACCUCAAUUUCCUCAAGAACUACUUCCGGGUCUUCUCGUCGCUGCUUCUCAGCACCACCAAGCCCCAGACCAGCGAUUCCAUCGAGCACAAGCUCCGGUUUGUGAUUAUCGAGAUUCUCAACCGGCUGCCGCACAGUGAGGUCAUCCGGCCCUUCGUCUCCGAUCUCUUGAAGCUGUCGAUGCAAGUUCUCGGCACGGACAACGAAGAGAAUGGGCUCAUUUGUAUGCGCAUCAUCUUUGAUCUCCACAAGAACUUCCGCCCGGCGCUGGAGGCGGACGUGCAGCCUUUCCUCGAUUUCGUUUGCAAGGUAUGCGGAGAGAUUUUUUUCUUCGUCAAAGAGUUUCUUUGGCUGGUUUUGUUUGCCAGGUUUACCAAAACUUCAAGAGCACCGUAAGCUACUUCUUUGAAGAGACCAACAGUGAUGUCCAAAUUGCUGCUGCUGCCGCUGCCGCCGCCGCCGCGGCUGCUCCACAGAACGUUGGCUUUGUGGGAUCUCAAAGGGGAAGUAUCUCCGGGCAACUGAAUCCAAGUACGCGAUCGUUUAAAAUACUUUCGGAGUGCCCGCUCAUCGUCAUGUACCUCUUCCAAAUCUAUCCGCGAUAUGUUCCGAGCAACAUUCCUGUUCUUCUUCCGCUCAUGGUUAAUGCCAUCGCAGUGCCAGGACCAGCACCACACCAGGUUCAUCCGACGAUGAAGGGUCACUUUGUGGACCUUAAAGCGGGUCAAGUGAAGGUAUGUAUUUCUUGUGAAUUUUUUUUAUGGGGGUUAAGUGCUUGUUUUUCUCUUGGCAGACAGUAUCUUUUUUGUGCUACUUGCUGAAGAGCUUUGCCGAGUUUAUCCGUCCACAUGAAGAGAGUAUGUCUAGAAGUAUUGUGAACUUGUUAAUCUCGUGUCCUGACUCAGUCACCAUCCGAAAGGUCUGGUCUAUCAAAAAUUUUACACCCCCAUUGUUGUAUCUCACUAUCUUACGCUGCUUACAGGAACUUCUAAUCGCUACGCGUCAUGUUUUGGCCACUGAUUUUCAAAGAGGGUUGUUUCCUCUGAUGGACAAGCUAUUAGAUGAAAGGUCUGCACAUUCAUGAUUAUUCUUCGCAUAACACGGGUCGUGCAUUUAGAGUUCUUGUAGGAACAGGUCGAGCAUGCUUUGAGGGACUUCGGCCUUUGGCGUACAGUAUACUAGCCGAACUCAUUCACCACGUUAGACUCGAACUGACACUUAAACAGGUUGGUGUGGAAAGCCUUUGCGUCUUUGUUUUCAUCGUCUGUGUUUUUCUACAGCUUUCUUUGAUUGUAUAUAUGUUUUCAAGAAAUGUGCACGACCCUUCCUUACCGCUAGGUGUACAAACCACCUGCGUUCGUCUUAUGCUUAACCUGGUAAGUCGAAUGGAUGAGUUUUCUUUAUCCUCUUUGAUCUGGUUUUUAAAAAUACUCAGGUUGAGACCAUAUACAGUCGUCGUGGUGACCCAAGCAAAGAAGAUGGCAGAAAACUACUGGUAACAUUCUAAAUGUCAGUUUGGUAUUGAACCGCAUGUUACAGGGACGGAUUCUGGAUGCCUUUGUGAGUAAAUUCUCAACACUCAAACGUUAUGCUUCACAGGUGACGAUCAAGUGUAUAUUACGGAAGAUACUUAUAUUGGAUUCUGUGUGUAGCUUGAACGUAACGAUUUCAGUACCAGAACCAAGCUAGAGCUUCCUGUUCAGGUGGUAUCUUUCCGCAUUAGCUCAUCUAACGUGGUGCUUCUUUUUGAACAGGCUGCGUUGAAUCUUCAAACGCCUCAAGAACAUGCGAAAGAUUUUGCGGACUGCAAACAGCUUAUCAAAACAUUAAUAAUGGGUAUUACAAGGGUUUUUAAUUCUUGGAUGUCAUUCUUAUUUGUUACAGGAAUGAAAACUCUAAUAUGGAGCAUCACAAAUUUCACAGCCACUCAAGUGUCGAUGCAGCAGCCUCAAGGUGCAGUUGUCAACGCAGGCGGGCCCAAAGGCAUGCGAGAGGACGAGGUUAGCAUCCAAUUUUACAUUCCAUUCUUUGAAUUUGGUUCGUACAGGUUCUAGCCGCUUCGGGGAUCCUUACAACUGGAGUGUUUUGCUUAUCUCUUUACAAAGACAAAGAAGAGGAGAAGGAUAUGUUCACGCACUACACAUCCGUUUUUGGAGUGAUGGAACCCCGGAAUCUCAUGGACCUGUUUUCAAGAUGUAUGCCACGGUUAUUUGAGUACACUCUGGCCAACAACCAGCUCCUUCAGAUAUUCUCAAACCUGCUACAGAACCAGAAGUUGACACGACAUUUUGCGGACGUGUUGAUACAGUUUCUUAUGGGAAAGCUCGAUACUUUAAAGCAGCCGGAUACUCCCCAGGCCAAGCUCGUGCUGCAGCUAUUCAGAUAUCUGUUUGUUGCGGUCGCGAAGUAUCCAAACGACUGCGAGAGGGUUUUACAGCCUCACGUCCUCACCCUUAUGGAAGUAUGCAUGAAGAAUGCUACGGAAGUGGACAAGCCGUUGGGAUAUAUGCAGCUCAUGCGAAUUAUGUUUCGCGCUUUAUCAGGUGGAAAGUUCGAGCUCUUAUUUCGGGAGUUCGUUGCUACGUUACAACCGUGUCUCAAUAUGCUACUGGCUAUGAUUGAAGGACCCACAGGCAUGGAUAUGACUGAUCUUAUAGUGGAGUUGUGCCUGACUAUGCCGGCCCGGUUAAGCUCGCUUCUGCCACACUUACCACGUCUUAUGAAACCUCUGGUACUUGCUUUGAAGGGGAAUGACGACCUUGUUGCGUUGGGUUUCAGAACACUGGAGUACUGGAUUGACAGCCUGAAUCCGGAGUUUCUGGAGCCGAGCAUGGCCAAUGCGAUACCCGACUUGAUACUCACGCUGUGGUCACACCUCCGGCCUAAACCAUACAUAUGGGGUGCCAAGGCGUUGCAGUUACUUGGGAAGCUCGGCGGAAGAAACAGGAGGUUUUUGAAGGAGCCUUUGGCACUAGAAUGCAAGGAAAACCCGGAGCAUGGACUUCGACUGAUUCUGACGUUCGAGCCGAACACUUCGUUUCUUGUGCCUUUGGACCGGUGCAUUUAUUUGGCAAGAGCAGCCGUGAUGCAGUCACACGGCGUGGACACCUUCUAUCGGAAGCAUGCUUUGAAUUUCUUGCGAGUCUGCUUAUCAUCGGUAUUGAAUCUCAAAGGAAAUAUUGGUAAAGAAGGAGUUACGCCAGGCCAGCUUAGUACAAUGCUCAUGACAUCCGUUGAUCCAUCAAAGCGAAGAGCUGAAGUCUCAAAUAUGAAGGUACUUUUGUGUAGAGUUUUAGAAAUUUUUAUUCAAGUUGCAUUUGUGUACAGGUCGAUCUCGGCGUUAAAACAAAAACUCAAUUGGUCGCUGAAAGAAGUAUAUUUAAAGUUCUUCUGACAACAGUUAUAGCCUCUAGCGUGGAGAACGAUCUUCAAGAUCCGAAAGACGACUAUGUGCCAAAUAUCUGCCGCCACUUUGCAAUGCUUUUCCACGUCGAAUCUUGCUCGGGAAAUGCUGCUGCCUCGUCGAGCCAAACGUCGGGGGACUUGCCAACAAAAUCGCGGAGUCAUUCGAGCUUGAAAGAACUGGAUCCUCUCAUAUUCCUGGACGCUCUGGUAGCUGUUCUGAUGGACGAGAACAGACAACAUGCCAAGGCCGCUCUUCAGGGCUUAAACGUCUUUGCGGAGGCGCUUCUCAUCUUUGCGAGGGCGAAACACACUGGCGUGCUGAUUCCGAAGGGUGUAAGCACUCCUGGAACGCCGAUGAUGGUCUCAAGCCCGUCAAUGAACCCGGUUUAUUCGCCUCCACCGGGUGUACGAGUUCCUGUAUUUGAGCAGCUGCUACCAAGAUUGUUACAUUGCUGCUACGGGAGUACAUGGCAAGCUCAAAUGGGCGGGGUAAUGGGACUUGGUGCUUUGGUGGGAAAGGUUACAGUCGACACUCUUUGCAUCUUCCAAGUUCGUGCUGUGCGUGCUCUGGUGUACGUACUAAAGAAGCUACCGCAGCAUGCAAGUAAGGAACAGGAUGAAGUAAGCCAAGUGCUGACGCAGGUGCUGCGGGUGGUGAACAACGUAGACGAGGCAAACAAUGAGCCUCGGCGUCAAAGCUUUCAGGGUGUUGUGGACGUCCUGGCCGCGGAACUCUUUAAUCCCAACGCGACACAUACUGUCCGAAAGAGUGUCCAGCAGUGCCUUGCACUUCUGGCCAGCAGGACAGGGAGUGAAGUUUCGGAGCUGCUUGAACCGCUACAUCAGCCACUGCUUCAACCUCUGAUUUCUCGACCUCUUCGCACAAAGCACGUUGAACAACAGGUACUCAGAGGACGUGUCUCUGUGAAUUCUCUUAUAGACACCCGUUUUGCAGGUCGGAACUGUGAUGGCUUUAAACUUCUGCCUGGCCUUGCGGCCGCCUCUUCUUAAAAUGACUCCGGAACUUGUCACACUCUUGACGGACGCUCUUCAAAUUGCGGAAGCUGACGAAGCUGUACUGAUUGGAAAGUUCAUGAGUCCGAAAAUGGCAAACACCCUGACCAAGCUUCGAACAGUUUGCAUUGAGUUGCUAUGCACUGCUAUGGCCUGGGCGGAUUUCAAAACUGCAGCUCAUAAUGAGCUGCGGUCACGGAUCAUAGCUAUGUUCUUCAAAUCUCUGACCUGUAGAACACCAGAGAUAGUUGCAGUAGCCAAGGAAGGUCUUCGUCAGGUAAUACGUCUUCUCUCUCUUCGCAUCGUAUUCAUGACAUUUUGUAAUAUUUCAGGUUAUUCAGCAACAAAAACUGCCAAAGGAGCUCUUGCAAAGUAGCCUGCGACCGAUUCUUGUGAAUCUGGCAUCGUAUAAGCAUCUGACGAUUCCCUUGCUUCAAGGGCUUGCUCGACUGUUGGAGCUGCUUUCUAAUUGGUUCAACGUGACACUCGGUGGCAAACUCAUGGAACACCUGAAGAAGUGGCUAGAGCCGGAAAAGCUUGCUGGAACAGUAAAGUCCUGGAAGCCCGGGGAGGAAGCGAAGGUCGCUGCGGGUAUGUCUUUGUAUCGGUGUUGUGGAAGUUCUAACUUUCCUCGUGUGUUUCAGCCAUAAUAGAGCUGUUUCAUCUGCUUCCUCCGGCCGCCAACAAGUUUCUUGAUGAGCUUUUUCAACUAACCAUACAUUUGGAGGCGGCAUUCCCUCCAGGGCAAGUGUACAGUGAGUUGAAUAGCCCAUACAGGCUACCUAUCACAAGGUUUUUGAACCGCUAUGCGACAGAAUCAGUAGAUUACUUUCUGGCACGCCUUUCGGAGCCAGCUUAUUUUAGAAGGUAAGGUUGUCCUGAUAUUCGUGUCCUCGCUGAUACUUGUUUGUCAGAUUUUCGGACGUUAUAAAGUCAGAUGAGGGGCAACCCCUUCGUGAGGAGUUGGCGAAGUCACCGGGCAAGAUCAUCGAGUGUGCUUUUACUGUAGUUCAACCAUCAACCGAAGAAGCAGAUCCAGGUUCAACAGCUAGUGGUGCUGACGGAUCGGUACCUCCGCCGCCUUCUACGACGUCAGAGUCCCUGUUUCAAGGUGUUGCCUUGGUAGCUACUUUGGUCAAGCUCAUACCGGACUGGCUGCACGAAAAUCAGACCGUGUUUGAAGCUUUAGUUCGGCUGUGGCAAUCGCCCGCAAGGCAGGAACGACUAAAGAACGAGCUAAAUUUGACUCUGGUGCAAGUGAGUAGCUUUUCUUUGCAUCUAUACUGCUAACACACGUACGUUGUAGGUGAAGGAGAGCAAGCGUCUAGUCAAAUGCUUUCUGAAUUAUGUGAGACACGAUAAAGCGGAGGUUGAUAUUCUUUUCGAAAUGCUGUCCAUAUUUUUGGUCCGAACUCGUGUUGAUUAUACCUUCUUGAAAGAAUUCUACAUGAUCGAGGUGAGGUUUUUAACUUGAUAUGUUCUUCUCAAAUUCUUUUCAUCAGGUCGGUGAAGGAUAUACACCCCAGGAGAAAAAAGCUGUUCUGCAACGUUUUCUUCAAAUAUUCCAGUCGAAGUCGUUGAAGCAAGAGUCCUUGGUGGUCGCCAUGCAAAUGCUUAUUCUUCCCAUGCUAACUCAUUCGUUUCAAAACAAUCAAAGUGCCGACGUUGUCGACCAGCCUAUCAUCAAGACUAUUGUGGACAAGCUGUUGGAUCCUCCCGAAGAGGUACUUGUUCUGUGUGAAAGCACUAAUGUCAGUGGGAAUCGCAUUUCAGGUCAGCGCUGAAUACGAUGAGCCUCUUAGGAUAGAACUCCUGCAGCUGGCGACGUUGUUGCUGAAGUAUCUCCCCCACGAACUCGUGACACAUCGCAAGGAACUUAUCAAGUUUGGCUGGAAUCAUUUAAAGCGCGAAGACAGUGCAAGCAAGCAAUGGGCUUUUGUGAAUGUUUGCCGUUUUCUCGAUGCAUAUCAGGCUCCAGAAAAGAUUAUCCUUCAGGUACAUCACAAGAUUGUAAGAUUAUGCAUCGUUUGAACUGUCUAUUCAGGUUUUUGUUGCACUAUUGCGGACCUGCCAACCGGAGAACAGAAAUUUGGCAAGACAGGCGCUUGAUAUUUUGAUGCCAGCUCUUCCUCGCAGACUUCCCUUGGGUGAACAGAAGAUACCUAUAUGGAUACGUUACACUAAGAAGAUUCUUGUUGAGGAAGGCCACUCGGUACCAAAUCUUAUUCACAUCUUCCAGCUAAUAGUUCGACACUCGGACCUGUUCUACACUUGCCGGGCGCAGUUUGUACCUCAGAUGGUGAACUCCCUGAGCCGCCUUGGGCUCCCUGGAAAUCUUCCGAUGGAAAACCGCAGGCUGGCUAUUGACCUUGCUGGACUCGUGGUAUCAUGGGAAAAACGACGGCAGGGAGAAGCAAAGGCGGUUAUGGAAGGAGAUCAACCUUUAUCUACAGAUGGUGCGUCAUUCUCGUUAACAGCUACGGACGUAGGAGUUGGCUCAAAGAGACCACCGGAACUACUGUCUUCGGACGAGACCAAGAGAGUAAAGAGCGAGCCAUCACUUUCUGGGAUGUCACCUGGUCUGGGAUCAAGUACUCCUUCGAUACCAAACGUUGGCACGCCAAAUUCAAUGGGUCAGCCGGAUGAGGAGUUUAAGCCGAACGCUGCAAUGGAAGAAAUGAUCAUCAACUUCUUGAUAAGGGUAACCAGCUGCAUUCUAUUGCUUGGUUCUUAGCCUUCUUUAUAUCUACCAGGUGUCGCUGGUGAUGGAUCCGAAGGAUAAGGAAAUGGCAGCGAUGUAUAAGCAAGCAUUGGACCUCCUUACGCAAGCACUGGAAGUGUGGCCUGGUGCAAAUGUGAAGUUUAACUACCUGGAGAAGUUACUGAGCAGCGCUUUACCUCAGACCACAAAGGAUCCGUCUACCGCUCUUGUGCAAGGACUUGAUGUGAUGAGUAAAGUCUUGGAAAAGCAGCCUCAACUUUUUAUUCGGAACAACGUACAACAGAUCAUUCAAGUAAGACAUAUCGCGUUGCUCCUUUACGCUCUAACGUAUAAAAUUUUGAAGGUUUUGGAUCCGUCCUUCAAUAGCAAACUCGCUGAUGUUGGAAGGUCAAUCUGUAAUGUUUUGAAGCUGGUGUUCAACGCCUUCCCCUCUGAUUCCCUCAGUAACCCACAAGAUGUGAGGCUUCUGCAUCAGAAGGUGGAAGAGCUGCUACAAAAGCACUUACAAGCUGUAACUGCGACCCCGUCUACUCUUGAACCUCGUUCCGCAAACGUUACUAUCAGUUUCUUAUUGGCAUUGCUCAAUACGCUCAGUGAAGGAAACCGAAGUUACUUGGACCGCUACUUGACUCACAUAGUUCGCGUGUUUCAACGUCUCGCACGGGACAUGACCAACAGCUCGGGUGCACUUGCCCGACAGGUUGAAAUUGAUUAAAUUUUCUAUGUUUUCUAAACAGAUCUUACAGGGUCAUCGAGUCGAUCAAGAGGCUGCGGCAGGCAUGAACGUCAGCAACGUUCGCUCUCUUUUAAAGCUUAUCAGUGGCAGAGUUCUGCUAGUACCUGAGUGCAAACGACUUUGCUCACAGACGAUUCAUAUGAUUCUGUCUGAGAAAGGAACGGAUCCAAGCGUACUUCUUACCAUCCUCGACGUUAUUAUUGAGUGGAUAGAGAACGACUUUCGAGCCUCUGGUUCCGGUGCGUCCGUGGGGGUGUUGAACACGAAGGAUGUCCUGACUUUCCUACAGCGUCUUGCUCAAGCCGAGAAAAAUAUGACUGGUUCUGCUUUAGACGAAUGGGAUUCGAAGUUUUUAGCGUUGCUAUAUCGGUUAUGUUCGGACGCAUCCAAGUAAGAGGUUUCCUUGCCGUGUUUGAUAAAAAUGCUAACUAACAUACAAUUUGUGCAGGUAUCCACUGUCUGUGAGGCACGAGAUUUUCGUAAAAGUUGAGAAGCAGUUUUUAUUGGGACUAAGGGCCAGAGAUCCGGACAUGCGGCAGAAAUUUUUCUUACUCUACCACGAAUCUAUUGCGAAGACGCUUUUCACACGCUUGCAGUACAUUAUUCAAAAUCAGGAAUGGGAAGCAUUAAGCGACGUGUUCUGGCUAAAGCAAGGCUUGGACCUUCUACUGGCUAUUCUUGUGGAGAACGAUCCAAUCACGCUUGCUCCCAAUGCCGCACAAGUACCUCCGCUUAUGCCGUCGGGAGGAGUUCCCGACAGGCCUGGAAUGCAGCAACAGGCUGACACACCAGAUGAAGCGCCUCUCUCUUUUAUAGGCAUCGUGAACAAGCAUGCAAAGUUUUUGACGGAGAAUAAACUUCAGGUUCGAUAUGAAUUUCUAAGUUUUCGUCGACAUCUUACUUGUUUAUGGUUUUAGGUGGAGGAUCUUAUUGUCUCUUUACGGGAACUUGCAAAUACCGAUUCACAUGUGGCGUAUCAUAUGUGGGUUCUGGUCUUCCCGAUAGUCUGGGCCACGUUGCUGAAGGACGAGCAAGUGAUGCUAGCAAAGCCUAUGAUUACUUUUCUCUCCAAAGACUACCAUAGCAAGCAGCUGGAUAAGAGGCCAAACGUGAUACAGGCACUGUUGGAAGGGCUGUCUUUGAGUCAACCGCAGCCAAAGAUUCCAAGCGAGCUUAUCAGAUUCUUGGGAAAGACGUACAACGCGUGGCAUAUUGCGAUAUCUUUGCUCGAGAGUCACGUCAUGUUGUUCCCGACAGAAUCUCGCUGCUUCGACGCUUUGGCUGAACUCUACAGAAUGCUCGACGAAGAAGACGUUCGUUAUGGCUUGUGGAAAAGGCGGACGAUUACCAACGACACCAAAGCGGGAUUAUCUCUAGUUCAGCAUGGGUUGUGGCAGAGGGCACAGGAUCUCUUUUACCAGGCUAUGAGCAAGGCAACUCAGGGAUCUUACAGCAAUUCCGUCUCCAAAGCUGAGAUGUGUCUCUGGGAGGAGCAGUGGAUAUCCUGCGCUCGGAGACUUAAUCAGUGGGACAUCCUCGCAGACUUUGGUAAAAGUGUUGAGAACUACGAGAUUCUCCUCGACUGCCUUUGGAAGUCUCCAGAUUGGGCGCAUCUUAAAGACGUUUUGCCGAAGGCGCAGGUGGAAGAAACACCUAAGCUGCGGAUGGUUCAAACUUAUGUCGCACUUCAUGAAGGCAGCAUGAACGGUGUGACUGAGGCGGAUAUGAGAGUCGUUCAGGGUGUGGAUCUUGCACUCCAGAACUGGUGGCAAUUACCUGAGAUGUCAGUUCAGUCGCACGUUCCACUAUUACAGCAGUUUCAGCAACUGGUCGAGCUCCAGGAAUCAACAAGAAUACUACUAGAACUGGGAAACGCAAACAAGCAACAACCGGCAGGGUCCGGACAGCUGCAAGGAGGUGCAGGCAUGUAUGCGGAUCUUAAAGACAUUUUAGAAACUUGGAGGCUCAGGAUUCCGAACGAUUGGGACGAGUUAACGGUCUGGAAUGAUUUGAUGAUAUGGAGGAAUCACAUGUACAAUCUUGUGAUCAACGCGUUCAAGGCGCUGCAAGAGACAAAUCCGCAGUUACACCAGCUUGGUUUCAGAGACAAAGCUUGGAGCGUCAACAAACUUGCAUACGUUGCUCGGAAACAAGGUUUGCACGAAGUCUGCGUUACUGUUUUGAACAAAAUGUACGGCUUCCUUACUAUGGAAGUUCAGGUCGGUAUUUUUCUUAUCGCUGUUGUAGCAUUUAUAGUAUGGCAUCUUCUCAUGCAGGAAGCGUUCGUUAAAAUAAGAGAACAAGCGAAGGCAUACCUUGACAUGAAAGGCGAACUAAUCACUGGACUUAAUCUGAUCAACACAACGAAUUUGGAGUAUUUUCCGAAUCAACACAAGGCUGAAAUCUUCCGCUUGAAAGGAGAGUUUUUGCAGAAGAUGAAUGACAGUGAAACCGCCAACCAGGUUUUCUCUACGGCCAUUUCUUUGUUCAAGCAUCUUCCAAAGGGAUGGAUAAGCUGGGGAAAUCAUUGCGAUCAGGUUAGUUAGGAGCGUGAUUUUGUGCUAGGACCCAGCUCACUGAGAAAUCCGUUUGCAGGUUUACAAAGAAACCGGCGAAGACUUGUGGCUGGAGUACGCAGUGAGCUGUUUCUUGCAAGGUAUCAAGUAUGGAAGCUCGUAUGGUCGGAGCUAUCUUGCCAGGGUGCUUUAUCUGCUGAGCUUCGAUAACCAAAAUGGAACCGUCGGUAAAGCAUUCGAAAAGUACGGGGACCAGAUAACUCACUGGGUCUGGAUUCCGUGGAUACCUCAGCUUCUACUUUCUCUGGAGAGACCCGAGGCAUUGCAUUGCAAGAAUGUUCUGUCGAAGCUGGUCGCACUUUUUCCGCAGGUGAGUUUAGUAAUUGCCCUUCGAUUAUUUGGGAACUUAUUGUUAUGCCCUUUCGGAUUGCAGGCCUUGUACUAUUGGCUUCGGACUCAUCUCUUGGAACGUAGAGACAUUGCGACGAAGUCGGAUGCUGUGAAAGGGUCACAAACACGUGCUCAGGCUGCUGUAGCUGCGGUUGCUGCUAAUCCGGACGCGUCUGGUACUACUACUAAUUCUGAAGGCCCCCAAGGCUCGCAGACCCCCGCGCCGCAACCUCAAAAUGGAAGUGCUGAUACGACACCGCAAGAAGCUGGAGGGUCCGACGGUAAUGCAACUGCGUCUGCAGAUACUUCACAGUCAACAAACGCCGCUGACCAGCUUGCCAUGCUACGUCGAAGCCACUGGGCCACGGCUGUCAGCUCAUUUGAAGCUGCAAGGGAGAUCAUGGACAUGCUGAGGCUAAAACACAACAAUCUCGCGGCGGAGAUGGAGGUACAUGAUAUUUACCCUGCUUCAUUUGUUACCGGCAUCGUUGUUUCCAGGUUAUGUUAACCGAAGUCGGAGCACGUUUUGUUCCUUUGCCAGAGGAAAGAUUGCUAGCAGUUGUUCACGCCUUGCUUCAUCGCUGCUACAAAUUUCCCACUGCGACCACCUCUGAAGUCCCUCCGUCCCUGAAGAAAGAGCUUGCUGGCGUUUGCAAAGCUUGCUUUUCGUCUGAUACCGUGGCAAAGCACACGGACUUCGUCAACGAGUACAAAAGAGGUUUUGAACGCGACCUUGAUCCAGAAAGCACAGGAACAUUUCCGGCCACUCUAGCCGAGCUGACUGACCGCUUGAAACAUUGGAAGAGUGUCCUCCAGUCCAAUGUUGAGGAUAGACUUCCAGCGGUAUUGAAGCUUGAGGAAGAGAGCAGACAACUUAGGGAGUUCCACGUCUUGGACAUUGAAGUUCCAGGACAGUAUUUCAACGAUAAGGUAAGCUAGCAGAGCUUGUGUAUGUUUUUCUACUGAUAAUUUGGCUUCUUUAACCUGCAGGAAGUAGCACCUGAUCAUACAGUGAAGCUAGACAGGAUUGGAGCGGACGUUCCGAUUGUUCGUAGACAUGGAAGCAGUCACCGAAGGCUAACUAUGAUCGGAAGUGACGGCUCUCAGCGACAUUUCCUAGUGCAGACGUCUCUGACCCCGAGCGCGAGAAGCGACGAGCGGAUGGUGCAGCUAUUCCGGGUUUUAAAUCGACUCUUUGACAAGCACAAAGAGUCAAGGCGCAGGCAUCUGGCAUUUCAUACGCCCAUCAUCGUCCCUGUUUGGCCUCAGGUAUGUUUUCAAUCCCUAUAUAUAUAUAGCUAAACUAAGAUUCCAUAUUUUUAUCGCUAAACUAAGAUUCUUCAGCAGGUCCGAUUGGUGGAGGAGGAUCUUAUGUACAGCACCUUCGGUGAGGUGUAUGAGAUCAACUGUGCGAGAUAUGGACGCGAAGCCGAUGUUCCUAUCACGCAUUUCAAGGAGCACUUGAACCAGACCAUCACAGGACAGAUGAGCCCAGAAGCCGUGCUGGAGCUUCGGCUAAACACGUACAAUGAGAUCAUCACCUCGCUUGUCAACGAGAACGUCUUCUCGCAGUUUAUGUACAAGACACUUCCGAGCUCCAACCAUCUGUGGACGUUCAAGAAGCAGUUUGCUGUGCAGUUGGCCUUGUCUGGCUUCAUGUCCUACAUGCUGCAAAUAGGUGGCCGGUCUCCAAACAAGAUCCUAUUUGCAAAGAACACGGGCAAGGUUUUCCAGAAUGACUUCCAUCCCGGUAUGCUCUCUUGCUCUUCUGGAUCCUCUUGUGAGUUGUUUAUUCCUUACAGCCUACGACAUCAAUGGCAUGAUCGAGUUUGCUGAGCCGGUUCCAUUCAGGCUCACUCGCAACCUGCAGACUUUCUUUACUCCCUUUGGAGUCGAGGGCCUUUUCGUGUCCGCAAUGUGUGCGGCAGCACAGUCGGUGACAGCACCCAAGGUCAGCAGAGAAACAGCCUCUUUCGUUUUUCAUUCCAACUGACGAGCUUUUGUAUCGCUGCAGAACCAACACCUUCAAAACCACUUGGCGAUGUUCUUCAGGGACGAACUUAUUUCCUGGUCGUGGCGCCGUCCACCGGGAAUGCCCAACGCCGCUGUGGGUGGCAUCUCCCCCACGGAGCUCAAGCAGAAGGUGACCGCAAACGUGGACCAGGUGCUCGCUCGCGUCAAGGGCAUCGCUCCACAAACAUACCCCGAAGAGGUAAGUGAGCGACAGCAGUCCUUGUGUUUGUGGAAGCUCACAGCGGUUUGUUUUGUUUCCCAGGACGACAAUUCCAGCGAGCCACCUGUGUCUGUGCAAGCAGCAGUGGCAGAGCUUGUGGAAGCAGCGUUGCGGCCAAAGAACUUGUGUAUGAUGGAUCCUACUUGGCAUCCCUGGUUCUAAGCGAAUUCUACAUAGAUUUUCACUUGUAUAUGCUCACAUCCUCCGUGUUGUCUAAUCUAAUUCCAUGUGCUAAUCAUAUCCUGCAAAAAAAAAAACAAAAUGUUUUCGUUUUUACGUUCCUACAUAACGAAUUCUGGAUACAAAAGUUGUAGUACUACAACGUGCUGUUACAAAGUUUUUUGCUUCUUUUCAAUAGGACCAGUAUUCUCCACAACCCACGGGUGACGGAGUACCUCCUCCACCGUUAGCCUUUGCUCUGGAUUGACCUUCAACAUCCCCAAGAUGAGCUCCCUCGCCUCUUUGGACACACCCCCGCCCCACUUCAAUGCCCGUUCCACCUCUGCAUCCCCAGCACUUUUGAGAAAGCAUUCCACAUCAAAAACAUCAGAGAACACCCCCCACCCAGUGACAAGCUCGUACGCAAUCAACCCUAGCCCCCACAAGUCCACAGCUUUGGUGUAGUAAAACGGCCAGCCAUCCUUGCCAGCCCUGAGCACAUCCGGGGAUAUGUAUCCAUUGGUGCCACAGUUCUCGUGCAUGUCCUCAGCCACGUCUGUGGCGAGCCCAAAGUCAGCCAGCUUCACCUCAUAAGGUGGCAACAGCCUGGUGAGCAAAACGUUGUCCAGCUUCACGUCCCUGUGCACCACUCCGAGCGAGUGCACCCGUCCUAGUGCCUCAGCCAGGCUCUUGAUCACAAACGCUGCCUCUUGCUCCUCCAUCUUCCCGCCAGCUUUAUGAAGCCUCUCGCUCAGCGUGCAUGAGCCUAGCUCCAAAAUUAGGGUUCCCCACCAUCGGCCACCUUUGAACUUGCGAUCCUCCUCCAGCACCACGUCGUAGAGCUGUAUUGUCCCUUGGCAGCCGGCUAGCUUGAGCAUGACCCGGAGCUCCCUCUGUGCCGUCUCUGGUAGUGACUUUGCAGCUAAGAGCUUGCUCCCCAUGACCAGGUGGACCGUGCCUUGCCCUCCACUCCCAAGCUCCAUAACCACUCGAUAGAGCUUCUUCAAUGCUGGCAGUUCCACAACUUUGCCACUCUCGACUUCCCUCCAAAUUGUCAUGAGCGGUCACAAAGCCCUAAACCCUUUAGAUAAGUUUAUAUAUUAAAAAGGCAAUCUCUUUCUUAGUCUCAAAGAGUUCAAAGAGUGGAAAGCUGUUUCACAUUAAUGGGGUAACUGUCUUCCACAGAUCCUUCCCAGAAUCUGUCCGCCAACUCACCAUAGACUCUUGAGCUCGGAUGAAACUCGUCCCAGUACACAUAACUCGAGGUGUCAUCGCAGGUGGUGACGUUUCUCAGGCAGAAAACGAUGGCACCAUUCUUGCCGAUUCCGCUGCAGCAAGCUUGGUCACCAACCUUGUAUCCUGAAGAUCAACAUAUCAUCUUUUUCUGAAGCUUGCCAAGAAGAAGAAAAAUGGUUUACCGUGAGCGGCCGGGUUCCGGACAAGAUCAAGAACGUAGUCGAACGAGUUUGCAAAGACAAUGUGCGACCCGGGAAGAGAUGAGCUCCACUUUACGACGCUGGCCUUGAGAUCCGCAUUGAAUCGAGCGGCGGCGUCGUUAAGGAAAUCCACGCACUUGCCCCUCUUGGCAACGUUGUAUCGCAGCAAGUUGAUGGGACUACAACCCAGAGCCGUGAGAGAAGCAAGGACGAACUUGCGGCCGCCGGAUCCAUGCAGCCUCUGGAGUUGCUUGUGGUACUCGGCGAGGAGGAGAGAUUGAAAGCGCUCGGGAGUGUAUUGGACGGCCAGGGGCGAGGCCGGAAGGAGGUAAUAGUUGUUGACAAGAUCAUUGCUGCCCACGGUGAUGUAGUAAAUCGCUUGGGACGAGAGCUCCCGGGCUCGCUUGGAUCCAAGCUUGGCGGUGAUGUUGUUGCCCAGAACGUUUUGGAAGUGAUCGACUUGGGCUGGAAGAGAGAAAUGCUGGCCCUGCUUGGACAAUGAAUUCAAUGGUAAAUGAUAAAAGAAGUUCUUAUGAAACUCUUACAAAGACGAGGCCUGUUGACUCGAGCAAUCCAGAUCCAGCGGAUGCGAAGUUUACACCCUGCAAAACAUUGUCAUUCGCAGAAACGUAUGCUGGAGCUAGAUCAAGUCCCAAGCGCGAUGCUGGAUAUCACCAAAUCAAAAGCAAACGAGCGCUCUUUGUAAGUUAGAUCAAUGACAAAACUUUUGGAAGAUCACAAAAAACAUUACCCAAGAAGUCUGGAACAAGCCGUCCAUUUGCAAAUCUCCCAGUUGGACGCUGGCUCUGAUCAAAGUCCUUGCCAUAGGGGGGGAAGUUUGCUUGUGCCAGAGUGAUUAGAGCAUUGUUGUUUCCAGCAUCCACCAUGGAGUCUCCAAAAACGAACAACGCUGGAACUUUGGCUUGAGCUUCAGAUGUUACCAGUGAUAGCACUAUAACCAUGGUGGCGAUCAAAGCCAUAGAAACUUCUAGCCUGACCGUUUUGUAAAACUCUAUGGAGGAGCUAAAAACCCAUUCACCAAACAUUCACUCGCUCCGGUUCGAGACCAUCUUUUUUAUGCUUGGAGCGCUCAUAUAAAUGCCGGGCUAUGGAAAAGCGUGUAGAUGGAAGCGACCCAAAAAGAGAAAAAGCUACAAAGAAGCUCAAGAACAACUUGAUUUUUCGCUAGAGACUGACAAGGAGGACAAAAAUUUCAAGCAAGCACUGUGCUAGAACUAAAUGCUCCGAAAGAGAAGAAAAUAAUGGCAGCUUUGGCUUCCGUUAGGAAGAUGGUCGACUUCUUCCACCAAACCCAGGCAGCAUUAAAACUUUCGACGUCUGGUGGAUGGAUCUGGCCGUGGAAACAUUUAUUCCUUGAUCUUAUUUUUUUGCCUUGAAUCGCUGGAACAAUAUCGCUGGAACAACGUCGCAGCCUCAAAGGAUUUGCUGGAUGUUCAUGGGAUAAAUCUCGUCCUUGCCACCGCUCCAAAAGUUUCGAGCCAGGAUCUCGUAGAUUCUGCUGCUGGGGUGGAACUCGUCCCAGUAGACAUACCUCGACGGGUCUUUGCACGAGGGAACGUCUGGGAGGCAGAAAACAAUGGCCCCGUUCUUGCCGAUUCCACUGCAGCAUGCCUUGUCACCUUCGUCGAAUCCUGUGAUCUCGAAACUUUCAAGGAGCGAAAACCAAAAACAAGGAACGAAAACUUCGUCACGUACCAUUUGCAAGCGGAUUCAAGGCCGCCUUGUAGACCAUGUCGUAGCAAUUGCCGUGGAGGAGCUUGAUUCCUGGCAAGCUUUCUCUCAGCUCGCUCAGCAUGGAUUCCACGGCCUUGUUGUACAACUUUGCUGCAUCGUUUGGCUCCGCAGCACACUCGCCUGGCUUCUUGAUGAGGUAUUUGAGAAGAUUGAUGGGACUACAGCCGAGUGCCGUGAGUGAUGCAAUCACAAAUCUCCUCGCUCCUUCACCAUAUAAUGUCUGGAAGUGAGAACCACGACCUUCAGUGCUGGACAAUUUUUUUUGAAUCUACCUUGAUUUGCUCCCUGAAAACUACAAUGAGGGAGUCUUGGAACUCUUGAGGCGAUUGCGUUCUCAGCGGAGCCCCGGGGAGGAGGUAGUAAUUGUUAACCAGAUCGUUGCUGCCAAUUGUGAUGUAGUAAAUGGCUUUGGAGACCAUGCGGGAGGCCGAUUCCGGGCCGAGUUUCUUCACAAGCCUUGCAUGGACUUCCUUGAAGCUCGCAACCUGCUUUGGAAGCGGAAUGUGUUCUCCCUGGAGAUAAUUGACGAUUGAGACAAGAACAAACCAGCAACACAACAAGAUCUCACUUACAAACACAUUCCCAGAGGCUGGAAGCAGGCCCGCUCCAGAUGAUGCAAAAUUCAGCCCGUGGUCGAUGUUGUCUCCCGCCGAGAGAUACGUCUCCGGGAACGGAAGACCAAGGAAUGAUGCUGAAAGCUCGAGAAAACAUAUAAGCGGCAAACAACAGUGACAGAGAAACUCACCAAUGAAGUCUGGGACCAGCCUUCCAUUUGCAAAUCGACCUGUUGGCUUGUGCGUGUCGAAGUCUUUGCCGUAAGGUAGAAAAUUGGCCUUGGCCAACGAUUGGAGGUUGUUGUUGUUCCCUGAAUCCACUAAAGAGUCCCCGAAAACAAAAACUGCCGAUACAUCGUAGUUUUUAGCCAGUGCCGAGCUACAAGAAAGCAAGAGAAGAAAUGAGACGAUGCACAGGUAUGGAGCCAUCGUCUCUUCUUCAGCCCGACUGCGAUCCUACAAAAAGCAGCUACUGUCAAAUGCAAGAGGUCUAGACUUCUAGUUAAGACAAACGCCCCAACUGUCCUCCAGAAGCUUUAUAGACUUUGUGCAGAAUCUUGAACUUUGAGAGCUCACCUUACUCUGUAUGAAACAGCUGUGAACCAUCAAGGCCCUUUUGCCCGAGUGGUCAUCCCCACCUCGUUGCUGAUGCUGCUGUGGUUGUGGAAAAGCUGCAACAAAGAAGCGUCGCAUGAGUUAGCCAAGUUGAAAGGUCACCUUUUUUAGUUUAAGUGCUCUUGUUAAUCCACGUAAAGUGAGUACGAAUAUCUGAAACGGGGUAAAUGAUAUUUUUGCUAUAAACAUUGUCUCUCUGCAACGACAACUGAAUUAAAUAGUGUAAAAACAGUUCAACAAUUGCGGUAGGAAGAACUUUUUACAUAUCCCAGACCCUGUUAGCGCCUGGGUGGUGAUACGGCGGAUACGGAGGAAUCACCCCAGGAUGGUGCGCCCCAAACAUGUCAAAGCGACCCAUCCCUGGAUGCAUGAAGUGCGGGUAGCUAGAAACCGGAGGAAAAUGAUCUGCAUCCAAAAGAAGACGAAGUAAGCUCCCGUAGAAACUGUGACUCGAACACCUCAAAUUUAAAGACCUCUUCUGUUGUAGCCCGAGGGAGGAGAUCCUUUGUAGGAAUCACGCGGCCUAGGGGAAUAGUACUGUCUAUCCUGUCUAUCGUAGCCUCGUCUCUCGGAUGGGGAAUAUGACCUGCCAAACACGAUGGAAAACAGAAGAUAAAUUAGACUUAGAUUACCUGGAAUGACGACGACGUCUAGGUGAAGACGAGGGAUGCCUCGGUGACCGCGAACGAGACCGCGAGCGACCUGCAAGCUACAAGCUAACAAGAUAUCCAGAAAAAGAAAAUAGAACCUCUUCGAGGGGACCGCCUUGAGCUUGGCCUGUCCCUAUACAUAACAAGAACAACGCUCAGUCUGAUCCACUUGAGAGAAGUCUUGGAAUGACUUGACGGAAAAAGAAUACCUUGACGUUUCCUUCAUUCUCAUCUCUGCUGGCUUCUUCCGGGUUUCUUCGGCAAAAACCACUGAAACUUCACGGCCCCUGAUGAGCUGGUGAUUCAUCUUGUACUGCGCUUCAAUGGCAUCGCGAGGAUCGAUGAACUGUACAAAGCCGAAUCCCCGAGGCUCUCUGCAAGAUGCGGUGCGAGUUACAGAUUUCACUUGGCAACUUCUAAGACGAGUGGAACCAAACAGCUGCCAGGCCAGGGUCUUUUAGAAUCUAUCUCGACUUGGUAGUCUUCACCACUGAACUUCAAAAAGAUGCUAAAGAAGAACGCCACUAUCUCCCCAAGAACUACAGCUUAGCUACAAAGACCAUCUUCAAGUCUGACCUUCUCUUGCUUCUCAUCUUGAGAUCUUCUCACGGCCCUUCAUUCAACACUAAAGUCUCAGCAAAUGUAAACUUUUUCUUUUUCUACUUUAGUCUAAACAAGCAAAGAAAAGAAAAACACACUCAAGCAUCACGCCCCAAGCGCUUACCCGGAGUAGAAGUCCUUGGGAAGAUACACAUCCUUGACAGCUCCAUAGCGCUCGAAUGGGCCUCUCAGAUCAUCCGCCCUGGAAUGGCAAAGAAUCAAACCACUGCCCACAAAAGAGGAUUUGUACCUCGUGUCACGCGAGAUAUUUCGGACCAGCAGGCUUGUCGGCGGCUCCCCGCGGCCUCCUCGCGGGCUCGAGCUGCGGCGCCGGCUGCCACCGCUCCGCCGGGACGACGGCGGAGGGCUCUCGUAGGGACUUCGUCGCCGCUGCAUCUGAUUCGCUAAGGUAGAACCCUACUCUUCGAGCUAGGUCUUCAUAAUAAGUUUUUCUAUAAAAAAGUACAACUCUCUUUACUCCAUUUUCUUGAUUCAUUUGAAUAUUAUUCUUUUUUAUGUUUCAUAUUAUUUUUAGUCACAUUUAAAUUGAAGACAUCUGUCAUUACAAUCUUUAGAAAUAGGUUGGCAUCAAGAUAGGUUUUUGGUUUGCUAAAAAAGUGAAUAUACCUAGGAUAUGCUUAGAAUAAUAAACUUUUUUUUCCAAGAUCAACUAGAGUUACCAUGCUUUUCAUGUGAUUCUUUUUGAACCACCAACUUCCACAACUUAACAAGUAUGAAGCUAGAAACAUGAGUGUUUGAUCAACACCAACAGCUAGAACACAAUGAUGUUGUUUAUAUUGCCAAUUUGAAGUUUCAUGAGAAAAAGUUGUGAUGAUUUAUCCUCAAGCCAAGAUUGAAAGUCAAGCACAUGGAAUCAAGUUUAGAUAAAUUUAUUGAUGUCCACAUACUAAUACAAGAGACCUCAUAAUAGUAGUGUUUUCUUUAUACUUAAAAUAUCAAAAUAUAUUCUUUAAUCUAACAGUUCUAAAGGUUUAUGCUAAUAUUUUUAUUUAUGACUAAUACAAUCUCUCCCCCUUCCACACAUAUAAAUACUUAGAGUGCAUAGUUCUCAUUGAUCACUUCAAAUGUCGCAAAUGUGACUUCGGGCAUCGAAAGUUAUCUGUCGACUAGUCUUUAUGGACACUUUUUCCUUACUGCCACAAUGGCAGGAGGUCAGUAUUGCUGGACCCGUUAUCAGUCUUUACCUAAACUAAUUAAGAAAUUAGUCAUCACAUGUGCACUUAGAUCAGAAGGGCACUAAGGAAGGAAAUUCUAAGUUGUCAUUUAGUCAAGUAGACUUGAUAUGGUGAUGAGAAACUUAUGAUGUUAGCUUACACUUGCUAGUGUUGGGAACCGAGCUUGGUCCCUCAAUAUCGCUAGAUGAUAGCUUAUCGUAUUUGCCAAACACCCUCGCUAUCAUGCCCUUUGUGUUAGUCUUAUUUCGGUCCCAAAUGCUAUUUAUGGAAAGUGUCUAGAUUUGCUCAUUUGGCAUAUCUACGGAAUGUAGAGAUUGUCCUGAACACAAUGGUGUUCAUCCCGUGUCCAAAUUUGCAAUCUAGAGGCAUUCCAUAUUUAGUAAGUUUCAAGCUUAUCCCAGAGACUAACUCUUGAUACUAAGGCAGGCUUGGGGUGAAAGCCCAAAGUGUGUGUUCCUCAAGAGCGGGGGGGGAGGGGGGUUGUGGGGGGUUCCAAAUGUAUAGUAGGGAUAGUGGGUAGGUUGGGCAUGGCUAACUAACCUGAGGCAUAGUCUAGCUUUCACUUGCAUGCCUGUCCUUGUUCUGCGUCCGGCUCAGGUCUAAGCCUAAGUUCCAUUCCAUGCUAGCUAGUGGAGUACCCAUGUCCUUGCGUUAGGCCACCGGUAUGCUGAAAUAGCGCCAGACUCCAUUUGGCUCCGUUUUGCGUGUUGGUUUUGGCAUUGGGAUGCUGGUUACUCUAGAAUUAUUCCAAGUCGCUUCGAGCUCCUGUCCCUUCGCUCCUUGGGCUUUAUGCUCGAGAGUUGCUCUAUGGUUCAGUUCUGUCACUCCUUGGCUCCAAGCUUGGGAGUUUGGUACCGUUCCUUCGUUCAGUGGCCCAAGGCUCUGAACCAUGGGUUCCACACCAAUGUCCUGUGGACACGUGGCAUGGACAUAUGCCAUGUGACACGUGGCAUUUGACACGUGGCACAUGGAGGGUUUAGGUUUCGCUUCGUGGUGUUAUCUUAUGGUAAAUCACUAUAGGAUAAAGGGUCAAAACCACGUGCGCUACAUCAAAUCAUAAAUUCUAAAUAUUUUUUAACAGUAAACAACCAAAGGGAAUGACUUGACAAAUGAUUCAUUAAAGUUCAAAUAUAAAAGAAAAAACUUAUGAAUAAAAUUGCAUUUUUUUCCAAUUAGUUAAGGGUUUCGGGAUACUUGGGGUUAAGUGUCAUUAGAUUUAAAUAGUACUGAGUUAGUGACUUCCUAAAAAGUCCAAAAAACUCAUAAGCUUAUAUUACCCUUAUCAUACACAUCAAUAAUGGAUUCAUUUGAGAAGUUGAUAUAUUCCAUAGGGAUUUGAUAUUUUGAAUUUGAUGAGCUCCAUUAGUCUCCCCAAUACCUUAGUGGCUAUUUAAAAUAGUUGUUUAUUGGGAUUUAUCUUUGAUAAGACUCAAGUUUUAACACUAUGAUAUACAUUUUAAAUAUUAUGUAAUACUGAAGGAUCUUUAUAGAGUUCUUUAUGGUUUUUCCCAUAGGGAAUGGGCAUUGAUAAGUGUUUGUCUUUGCUCUAGUUUGUUUAUAGUAGCACUUAACAAUCAAUUAUUGAUAUGUCUCCAUUUAUAGUGAAAUAUGGUUAUAAUCUCAUAGAGUAUUCUUAAAAUAUUCCUAUGGUUUAUGUUGGAAAUAGCCUCCUAUGUAUCUUCAUCUAAAUAAUCAUUCUAUUGAACUAACAACUCCCAAGUUAUCUUACGACAUGUCUUCACCAACCUAUGAACAAAGGGACAGAAGCAUGGAGCAACGUUAGAACAAUCUUAAAACUUCCACCAUCCCAAUGUUAGAACUAACAUGCAAAACAAAGCUAGGCGCUAUUUCAACAUACUAGAACACAAGGAUAUGUGUAUAUGUGUCCUUGUUUUAUGUCUAGCUUAGGUCUAAGCUUAAAUUCCAUACUAUCCUAACUAGUGGAGUAAGCAGAAGUUAAAUUAUACCUUAGGUUGGUCGUCCAUGCCAGAUCUAGUCACUAUCCCUACAAAAAUUUAUUAAAUAUGAAAUAGUGUUAAAUUGCAAAUUUAAAUGUGGGAAUAACACCAUUGUAUUUAGAACAAUCUCUAAAUUCCAUAAAAUGCAAAAUUAACAAAUUUAAACAAUUUCCAUAAAUAGCCAAUGGGAUCAAACAAAACCAACAUAUGAAGGAAUGAUAGCAAGGGUGUCUUGGUAGACAUAAUAAGCUAUCACAUAAUAAAUAUUAAAGGACCAAACUUAAUAUCAUAUGAGUUCUUAACAUUAGCAAAUGCAAGUCAAUGAAUGAGUUUUUCUAACCAAAUUAAGUAUGUUUGACUAAUAACAUUUAAAAAUUCCAUUUUUAUGCUAUUUUAGCCAGUUGGGUGACCUCCCGGGAAGUCCAAAUUCAAGAGGUUAUAUUGUAGUAAGGGCAUAUCAUCUUUUGUAAGAUGGGUGACACCCAAAGCAACAAGGGUGGUUAAUUUGAUUGGUUAUUUCCAUAUUAGUGAAGGCCACAAGGUAUAUGAAUGAUAGUGUAUUUUAGUUAAAUAGAGAAGUUGCCCCUUAACUCAUUUAAGUUGGUGCAUUUUUCAUAAAGUAUAAAUACCAUAAGCUUUUUUUGAAGUUGUUUCCUUAGGGAUGGUCUAGACUAAAGUAUGUAUCAAUGAGGAUGUCAAUCUUUUCUAAACAAGGGAGAGUGUCGCGAAUAUAAUUAUAAGUAUUGAAAGUUAUAUAUUGAUAAGUCCUUUCAGAUUUUUUUCUUUAUUGCUAUGAUGGCAAAAGGUCAGUAUUAUUGGACCCUUUUUUUAGUUUCCACCCAAACUAGUUGAGAAACUAGUCUUUGCAUAUGCACUUUAGUACUAUUUAAACCCAAUGAUAUUUAACCCCAAGUAUCCAAAGACUUUUAAUCAAUUGGAAAAAGGGAUGCACUCAUAUUUACGGGCCCUUGCCCUCUAUAUUUGAACUUUUAUAAAUCAUCUUUUAAGUCAUUCAUUUAAUUGUUUAUAAUCCACCAUAUUUUCCUACAAGUUCAUACUCUCGUGGAUGGAAGCUAACAGCCAUAGCUCUUCUAAGACCCUCACUCUUUUGACACUCAACCCAAGGUCUCUUAACACCCUACUUCUCAAGUUGAGCCCAGCUAAAGGCAAACUAAACUUAUUAAAUAUCAAUAUCAACAUAUAAUGUGAUUCCCUUAAGUCAACUAAUAGAGUUGAACUUGAGACCCCUUUAAUAAUAAAUGUAAGUUAUUGAAUUUAGACUCUUGAGAGAUCACUCAACCCACUGCUAUUUAAACCCAAAGAUGCCUAACCCCAAGUAUUCAAGACCUUUAACCGAUUAGAAAAUGGAGUGCACUUUUAUUUAUGGGCCCUUUCCCUCUAUAUUUAAACUUUUAUGGAUCAUUUCUUGAGUCGUUCUUUUUGGUUGCUUAUAUAUAGGUGAUAUAGAAAGAGAAGCUAAAGGCCUCAAUCUUCAUGAGUAAAUAAACAAAAGCCAUUAGUAAGGUUUAGAUAGACUAUUGUAAAUAAGCGGCUAGAGUUGUUUAUACAAUCAUGCCCUUUGAAUGGAAUAAGGAACAUUGACAAAGAAGUGAAUGAUGUGACAAGUUUAUAAUAGCUAUCCCAUAACUAAAGAUUUUACCAUGCACACAAAAUACCGAAGCCAAUCUUCCUAUACUAACUCAAACUUAAAGAUAAAAAAAUGGACAAUAUCAAAGUCAAAGAUAAUGAUAUUUUAGAGACAAAAUUAUUAGUGAAUAAAUCUUAUAUUAGAACAUAAAAGUAUUCUAGUUAAGUUAUCAUCUAAUAAACCAAGAUUAUAGGAUAGGAACCAGAGGUUAAAGUCACGAGAGUAAAAAUUCAAUAGUAAGUAUAUCAUCAAGAAAACUCAAUAAUAAAAUUUAAUGUUGCAAAUGUGACUUUGGAUAUCAAAAGUUACCUCUUGGUUAAUCCUUUUAAAUAUUUUUUCCUUACUACCACAAUGGCAAAAGUUUAGUAUUGCUAGACCCUGUAAGCCACAAAUUUUUCCUUUCCAAUUUGAACUCUAUGGACCGUCUCUCAAGUCAUUCCCUUUGGUUGCUUAUAGACCCUUUAUCAGUCCCUUUUGUUCAAGUGUUAGUAAACUAGACUUUGCAUUUAUACUUGGUCGGAUGAGCAUAAGGACGGAAUUCCUAAAUGUCUAUUUUAGCUAAGUAUACUUGGCUUAGCUUGUUAGUUCUCUUUUGUUUUGUUUUGCACUAGCUUGACAAGAACCCUCACGUAUUGAAACUAGUUCCUUAAUAACACUACAUAAUAGCUUAUUAUAUCUACCAAACACCUUUGAUAUUAUAAUCCUUUGUAUUAGUCUCAUUCUAGUCCCAAAUGUUAUUUAUGGAAAGUGUCUAGAUUUACUCAUUUAGCAUAUCUACGGAAUGUAGAGAUUAUUUUGAACACAAUGGUAUUUGUCCCGUGUCCAAAUUUGCAAUCUAAAAAUAUUCUAUAUUUAGUAAGUUUUAAGCUUGUUUUAGAAACUAACUCCUGGCACUAAAGGUGGCUAAAGGUGAAAGCCCAAAGCAUGUGUUCCUUAACGGGGGGGAGGGGGUUGUGGAAGGUUCCAAAUGUAUAGUAUAGCUCCCAUUUGUAUGCUUGUCUUUGUUUUAUGUCCGACUUGGGUCUAAGCCUAAGUUCUAUACCAUGCUAGUUGGUGAAGUACCUAUAUCCUCAUGUUAAACCACCAGUAUGUUGAAAUAGUGCUAAAAUCUAUUUGAUUCUAUUUUGCAUACUAGUUUUGGCAUUAAGAUGCUAGAUACUCUAGGACUAUUCCAAGUCACUUUGUGCUCCUGUCCUUUCGCUCCUUGGGUUGUAGGCUCGAGAGUUGUUUCAUGCUCCAAUGCCUUCACUCCUUGGCUCUAUGCUUAGGAGUUUGGCUCCGUUCUUUUGUUUAGUAGCCCAAAGCUCUAAAACUUGGGUUUUGCACCACUGUCCUUUAGAUAUGUGGCAUGUGGCAUGUGGCAUGUGACAUGUUGCACAUUAAGGGUUUAGGUUCCGCUUCAUGAUUAUCCUAUAGUAAAUCACACUCAAAGAACACAAAGUAUCAUUAACUGGCAAGAAGAAUGUAUCACCCAAAAGAAAUAACAUUUAAAUCUAUCGAAACUAACAAUAGUAACUAUUAACAGAGCAAAAUGAAUAUUGUAAGGGCUAAUAAAUGCUUGUUUAUGCAACCAUCACACUAAGGAAUCUAAAUAAAUCUUAGUUAAUAACAUAAAGGAACUAAAAUUUACUUAAAAAAGUGUCAGCAACAUCUUACUAACCAAAAGACUAAUCCAAAGCAAACUAUAAAAAACAUGCAGUAAUGUAGAAAGCCAAAAACCAUAAAAAAGGACAAUUAAGCAUCAUGAAAUAUCAUCAAUCAUCCUAUCAAUAGUGAUGCAUAAUCAUUAUUAAAUAACAAUCUAUCAUCUCGAAGGACAACAAUAUAAAGAACCAAACUCCCUAAAGUGUUAUACGCUAAAGGAUCCUAAAAUCAUAACCGGAACAAUAAAUUGUUUAUCAAAUGAGACCAAGUUUGAAAUUGAGUCCAAGAUUGAGUUCGAGACUAAAUUUGAGACUGACUCCAAGACUAAGAAGAUCAAGUCCGAGGGGAUUUUAAAGGUAUAGGGAUAGUAAGGUUUAGGAACCAAUUUUGAAGGAACUCUCCAUUAGUGCUUCCAAACCAACUUGGGGUUGGGACUAGGGGUUAAGGACUUUAGAUGGGAGUGAGCAUAAACUUGAUGGUGUUAGAGAGGCCAUCCAAGGAAGUGGUUAAAAAAAAUUCCCACUCCCAAAAGGGAAAUCAAUUACAGUGCUCUUGGCUUAUAUAGAAUGGUGUUCUAUUUGAGUACUGUGUAGUUCAUUGGUACUUGCUCUUUUCUAGGGGCUUGGAGGUCCCCUUGGGAAUGGAAGUGGGGGAGUAGGGAUAUCUAUAUUGGGCCAUUAGGCCAUAGUGUUUCCCUCUGAAAUCCUAAAAUAAAAAGAUGCAUCUAAAGCUUGGGAUUUAAAAUCAAUUGUAUCAAGGGACGUUAAGAAAUGUAGCGCAUGUGGUUUUGACCCUUUAUCCUAUGGUGAUUUACCAUAGGAUAACACCACGAAGCGGAACCUAAACCCUCUUUGUGCCACGUGUCACAUGCCACGUGUCCAUAAGAACCCGAGGUUCAGGGCCUUGGGCCACUGAACAAAGGAACGGUACCAAACUCUCAAGCAUGGAGCCAAGGAGUGAUGGAACCGAACCACGGAGCAACUCCCGAGCAUAAAGCCCAAGGAGCAAAGGGAUAGGAGCCCGGAGCGACUUGGAACAGUCCUGGAGCAACCAGCAUCCCAAUGCUAGAACCAGCACGCAAAACGGAGUCAAACGAAGUCUGGUGCUAUUUCGGCAUAUUGGUGGCCUAACGUGAGGAUAUGGGUACUCCACCAACUAGCAUGGAAUGGAACUUGGGCUUAGACCCAAGCCGGAUGCAGAAUAAGGACAGGCACGCAAGCGGGAGCUAGACUAUGCCUCAGGUUAGUCGGCCAUGCCCGACCUACCCACUAUCCCUACUAUACAUUUGGAACCCCCCACAGCCCCCCCCCCUCCCUUGAGGAACACACGCUUUGGGCUUUCACCCUAAGCCACCCUUAGUAUCAGGAGUUAGUCUCUGGGACAAGCUCGAAACUUACUAAAUAUGGAAUGUCUUUAGAUUGCGAAUUUGGACACGGGACAAACACCAUUGUGUUUAGGACGGUCUCUACAUUCCGUAGAUAUGCCAAAUGAGCGAAUCUGGAUGCUUUCCAUAAAUAGCAUUUGGGACCAAAACGAGACCAACACAAAGGGCAUGAUAGCGAGGGUGUUUGGCAGACAUGGUAAGCUAUCAUCUAGCAAUAUUGAGGGACCAAUCUCAAUAUCGCAAGUGCAAGCCAAUGACUCAAGUUUCUCAAACCAGGUCGAGUAUGCUCAGCAAGAAACACAUAGGGUUCCUACCUUAUGUUUAUCCAAUCUAACUUCAUGGUCAUUGACCAGUUUCUCAACUAGCUCAAGUGGGAAACUGAUAACGGGUCCAGUAAUACCGACCUCCUACUAUUGUGGCAGUAAGGUAAGAGUGUCCGUAAGGACUAGCCAACAGGUAACUUUCGAUACCCGAAGUCACAUUCGCAACACUCUCCCCCCCUAGGGAAGAUCGACGUCCUCAUCGAUGCAUACUCGAGUCUAGAAUACCGCCAAGGAAACAACUCUAGAAAAAGUUCACAGUACUCACACUAUGUGAGAAAUGCACCAACUUAAAUGAGUUAAGGGGCAACCUCUUUGUCUAACGCGGAUGCGCUACCAGCUCAGACACCUUCCGGCCGUCGCCGACAAAGAAAUGACCAACGGAGUUAGCCACCCUUGCUGCUCUGGGAGUCACCCAGCUUACAAAAGUGUGAUAUGCCCCUGCCCGCAGGAACAUAGAGAGAGAAGCCAGAGGCCCCAACCCUCCUAAGCAAAGAAACCAAACCCGUCGGUAAGGUUUAGAUAGACUACUGUAAACAGGCAGUUAGAGUUGUUUACACGGUCACGCCCUUGUAACGGAAUAAGGAACAUCAACAAAGAGGCGGGUUAUGUGACCAGUCGACAGUAGCUACCCUAUGACUAGAGAUUUCAACAUGCACACGAAGUGCCGAAGCCAGUCUGCCUAUACUGGCCCAAACCCAAAGAUCAUAGAUGGACAUUAUCAAAGUCAGAGACAAUGAUAUCUUAGGGACUUAAUUAUCAGUGAGUAUAUCUUAGAUUAGAACACAAAAGUAUUCCAAGUAAGUUAUCAUCCGAUAAACUAGUAGUAUAGUACAGGAACCACCAAGAUCAUCAUAAGUGGUAAACAUAGGAUUCACCAUUAAACAAAAUUCAAUAGCAAGUAUAUCAUCAAGUAAACUCAAUGAUAAAGUUUAACUAUUAAAGAUUGCAGACAGAAUGCCAAACAACUUACAAAAGAUAACUCAAAGAACACAAAGUAUUAUUGACUAGCAAGCAAAAUACUUGCGAAUGUAUCAUCUGAAGGAAAUAACAUCCCAAUCUAUCAGAACAAACUUGAGCAAUAAUCAACAGAAUAGAAUGAAUGUGGUAAGACUAACAAACACUCAUUCCUGCCAAUUAUCACAAAAGCUAAUCCAAAUAGAUCCCAGCCAACAACACCAAGGAACUCAAGUUGCCUAAGCAAGUGUCAGCAACAUCCUACUGAUGUCUCAAACCCAAGAGACCAAUCCAGAGCAAACCACAAAGAACAUGUGGUAUUGCGAAAAGCCAAAAGCCAUCAAAGAGAACAACUAACCACCAUAAAAGAUCAUCAAUCAUCCUAUCAAUAGAGAAAUGUAUAAUCAUUAUCGAAGAAAGAAUCUACUAUCCCGAAGAACAGCAAAUCAUUUUAUACCAACAAUAAUCAAGCAAAACCCUUGACAAGGAUAAUCAACUAUCUUAGAUGAUAGUCAAUCAUCACCAAUGAUUGCUAAAUGCAAAGACUAAUGUCAACAUCGAAACUAAUGAGCUAAAAUGCCUUCCCCCAACAACUCCUAACAAAUGGAACAAUGAGCAUGAAAACUCAAAUAACCAAAAGCUCGAAGAAGUCUAUAGCCAAAUCUUGCCUAAUAAUGAUCAUGAGUCUCGCAUGGACUAACGUCAAUGCUAAAGAAGAAAUCAUGGUACAACCCACAAUAUCCUCCUCAACACAUCUAUAAGCUAAACUUCAUAAUGCAAAGCUAAUGAAGAGCAUGUCUGCAUCAAUCCAAAAGCUAAGCAUAACAAAGCUAUGCUCAACAAGUGAUCAUCAAACAAUCCUCCAUGAAUCCAUCUAUAGCAAGACAUAACUCACAUCAUAACAAACACAAGAAGAAUCAUCAAUGAUCGAUAUAUUCCAACUCAAAUCCAAUAAGGAUUCAAAUAUUCCAAUAUCAAUCACUAACUCUUCAUCUCGUAAAGUUAGUGUUAUCCACGACUAAAUCACUUUUCAAGGAAAAGCUGAAGCUCAACCCCUAUUAAAUAACCUUGUUUAGAACACAACUAACUCAAACUUGCCACUCAGUUUAUUUGAACGUCAACACAGUUGCUAACUAGCAAAUGCAUGAAUGCUAAUAACACAAAGUUAUAGCCAAAUCAUCAAUGCUAUCUUUAUUAAGACUAAUGAAACUCGACAUCAAUCUUGUGGAGAGACAUUUCAUUUCACUGAAAUCUCAACAUCAACAAUGUCAACGACAAGGCAUCACUUCAGUGCCACCAACACUAGAACAAAGCUAGAAAAAAGCACGAGUGUAUCACCACUCAAAACUCUCUAGCAACCAAGCUAACCAAAGUCGGAGAUACUUUACUCAGUAUCCGAGACCAAUUUCUCAACAAUACUCAGGUACAGAUAACACUUCCUCAAGGAGUGAAUCACCACGUCCAAGACUCCAUGAAAUCCAACACUAUGAACUAAACGCAACCAAAUGAUAUCAACAGAGGUAGAGUCGACAUGCCAACAUGGAAAACCCAUGUAAGUCUAACGACAUGAUCCUCCGCAACCCCAUUCGGUAAAGCAAGCCCAUCACUGAUAAAUCUUCAUCGAGUGAAGCAAGUGUCAACAGUCCUUGGCAAAGUCUACAAGCAAUCACUAGUUGCCAAGCAACUAACCAUUACUUUUUUUUCAACUUGCUUUCAUGAGACCCAAACACUAAACUCACGUCAUUUAGUCAUACACUUGUCCAACAUGAACGUGAUACCUUCGGUAUGAGAUAAAAGUUCAUUGACAAGCACAAACUAAAUGACCACUCGAAUCCAACUCAACUGUAAUAAGCUCACUAAUGUAUUUAGCCACUAGCUCUGAGCAUGCCUUGAAGAGGCUAACUAUACGUAAUCAACACUUAGUCGAAACUAAAGUGAAGACCACGAGAUGGACUCAUGUUGGUACACAACCUCCUCAUAGACAAAGCUAAAAUGUGGGUACCAACACCUCAAACUCAAACAACUAAGUUGGACAUCACCAUCCUUAGCCAAGGCGCAGGGCCACCAAGACCAAGUCAAGAUCAGUGAGAGCUCACUACUCUCAUAGAGUCUAACGAAAUGCAAGAUGCAACCUGCCACCGAGCAUAAUGCUACAGAAGAAAGGCACAAGAGUCACCUUUCUAGAA